rnacentral:tmRNA from 1 species
GGGCUUGUACUGGUUUCGACAGGGAUUCUGAAGAUGGAGAAGCUAUCCGUAGGCCGAUGCGUCAAAUCGCAAACUUAAAAUUAAACGCUAACGAUAAUUUCGAAUUAGCUGCAGCCUAAUUGCUGCAUGUCAGUCCCGAGGCACCCGCACCUUGGGAAUCUGGCAUCAACUAUGUGGGAAACGAUAUUAACAAAGCUUUGAGUUAAUAGGCGUAUUAUGAAGCUACUGAACCUGUAAGAGUGUUAGUUCUCGUACAGCAGAGGGAAUGUUAAACAACUGACUAUGAUAGUAGAAGUACAUGGGAUGGGUUUUUGGACGCGAGUUCGAUUCUCGCCAGGUCCAUUC